rnacentral:rRNA from 1 species
UACGGAGGUGGCAAGCGUUGCUCGGAAUCAUUGGGCGUAAAGGGCGCGUAGGCGGGGAGGUAAGUCGGGUGUGAAAUCCCUCGGCCCAACCGAGGAACUGCGCCCGAGACUGCUGUUCUUGAGGAUUGCAGAGGAGACUGGAAUUCCCGGUGUAGCGGUGAAAUGUGUAGAGAUCGGGAGGAACACCGGUGGCGAAGGCGGGUCUCUGGGCAAUUCCUGACGCUGAGGCGCGAAAGCGUGGGGAGCAAACGGG